rnacentral:lncRNA from 1 species
UUUUUUUUUUUUCCUAUCAACAGCGGCUCUGUUUACAUAGCUUGAAAGGUUCCACAGCUUGCCAGUUGUGUUGUGGGCAACUAUAGAUCCAACAUCUGUAUCAGAAACAGCAAUAAGGGCAUACAGCAGAAACCCCCAAAUGAGAUAAUUUUAAUAAAAAUAUGUGGACUACCAGGGCCAAAUGAAAAGGACUGUUUCAGUCAUGACUUGCAUGCAGUGUGGAGAAUCUAAACACAGGAAAGAAGAGCUAAGUAAACGAGGAAGGCUGGGUACAGAAUUCACUCAUAGCAAGGAGAUGGAAUUUAACUCAGUGAUCCAGGAUAGGCCAAAAUGGUUACAAAACUUAACAAUUCAUUCCUUCAUUCACUGACGCAAUAAUCACAUCUUGAGUCUGGCUACACAUAUAACCCGUUUGGAAACCAACAUAAUCUUUUACAGCCUGCCCAGUUUCUUUGAGGCUCACGGAUUUCCACAGUGUACACCUGCCCAUGGUUUAGAACACUUCUGCAAUGAAAGGAAAUGGCUAAGCUAAUGUUUAUUUCAACCAACACUUUGUUUGGAUGCAUCCUGACAACUCAAACAUCUGUUUUAACUAGAAACAUCAAUCGAGUCGACUUACUAACAUUGAUAAAAUUUAGAAAAUUGCUCGAUAUUCUGCUGCUUUGUUCUGCUUGUAUGGACACAGCUUAAUGCUUUCCAUGCCACCAAAUUAGUACUUAAGUGGUUAUAGGAACCAGAGGAGCUUUCGCCUCCUCUAUGCCAGCUGCGCUCUAAAGAGAGACCUGAAAGACCCAGCUCUGAGGACAAGCCAUUAGUACAAGGCUGUCGUCGUUUCAUUACUAUGGAGGAGACAAGAAAACCGUUACUCACGCUAUUAUCAAGUUUGAUUUAAGCAUUUCACGCUAGGACACCUCACAUAUGAAACCAGCGAUAGGUCUGUAUAAAGGAGAAGAGCAACACUGAGCUCAUCAGACAAAAAAACAAAACUGCGCCAAGGAACAUUUCUGUUAUGUUUCAAGUCAAAUAGCACAUUCUUUACUUCCGAGUGAGAGAUUAAUUUUUUCUGUAAGUGGCUAACCUCUGGAAAUAACUUAGAGGAGACCAGUUUUGAAUGAAAUCUCCCUUGUGAGUCCAGGCCUGGCUGUCUCUGCAGUGGCAUUUCCAUGACUGCUAUGGUUGUCAACUGUUUCAAACUCCCACCUAGAGAAGUUUAAGUUCAGCUCCUGGAUCAAUAACUCUUUUUUUCCAAUGUUAGGUAUCACGACAGGUAGCUAUUAUUACCGUAAACAAAAACUUCCAUUUUAGAUAUAUGCUGAGGUGUGCUUGCUAAUUUUUUCCCCAGCUUUAAUAUAGAAUUGACAUACAAUGAUGUCUAUGUUUAAGGUAUAUAAUGGAAUGAUCCACUGGACGUUUAUACUGCAAAAAGAUUACCACAGUAAGGUUAGCUAACACACCCUCACCUCACAUAGUUACCAUCUGUUGAUGUGUGAGUGGUGAGAAGAGUGAGGAUUUACUUUCUUAGCAACUCUGAAUAUUCAUUACAGUAUGGUUAACUAGGAUAACCAUGCAGUACAUGAAGAUUCCCCAGAACAUUCAACUUAUAACUGGAACCGUGUAUCUUUUGACCACCGUCACUUAUUUCUCCCAACUCCCCUGCCUCUGGCAACCACCAAUCUAGUCUCUGUUCCUCCAGGUUUGAUUUUUCAGAUUCCACACCUAAGGAAGACCACAUAGUAUUUGUCUACUCAUGAGCCAGAAAUUACUAGGAGAGGGAAGUCAAGAAAUAUGACUUAUUCAAGUGUCUGGUAUGAACAGAGUCAGAGAAAGAGUUUGUUCACAAAAUGGGGUAGAACAUUAUUGAGUCACUGAUGGAAUACAGCUGAUGGAAGCUUCUUGGAGAAAUGGAACUCAGCAGGAAGGAAUUUAACUAGUGAUUCGUUGAAGGGGCAUUAUCCAAAGGAAUACGCAGCAACUUUGGCCUUGGGAGUCUAUGGAGAAAGGAGAGGAUGAAGAGGUAUUGUGGUCCAAGUUGCAUUCAGAAACAGUGCGUGACACCAGGACUCGACAUAAGUAGCAGAGACUGGCCAGCCAGGAGCGAGGCAAGUUGACAUAACGGCCACAAAAGAUAGAAGUCAUGCGAACAUCUUUAAGAAUGUCAGAACUGAUUUAUUAAAUACUCAAGCUCCCACACUUGAGCACACUGAUAUGGUACAGCCGGCCCCAUCCUUCUGACUGCCAGAAAGUAAACGCAGAUCUCUUCUCUAAAUGGCUGGCAGAGAGUGUUAGGUUUGGAGGAUUGAAUACACUGGAAGGAGACAGAAAAGGCUCUAAAGGGCAGCUCACCGGGGUGAAUUUUCUUUCUUCUACUGGGUGAUAGUGGUGGAAGAGAUGGAUGGGAAGAGCUGAUGAUGCCUGUGGGCAGAUGUCAUUGCCAGCACUAUCAUUUUUCUGGGACAGCUCUCUUCAGAGCCCAGAACAGAGUGAGGCAAACUCUUUGAUGUUCAGGUCCAUUUCAGAAGUAGAUUCCUGGGACAGAAUCAAGAACUUUCAAAGUUUUAGUUUUCCUAAAAAACAGUCUGUAUAUAAUGUGAUUAUACUUUUUCAUGGUUAAGAGUUUACACAUUAUUAACUGUCCAUGUAGAGUUUCCACUCGGAGUCUGUUUUUUUUUUUUUUUUUUUUUAUCCUAAGAAAAUGGAAUAAUGGCAUCUGCAACUUAGAGCACAAUGGUGGGCAUGUCAUAGAGCAGAAUGAUGGUCAAGGAUGCAGGUAUACCAGUAAGUUUUCCAAUAUUAUAGUCCUCACUCCCUGACCCUGCCACCGUCCACCUGCUCAUGUCUUCUGAACAUUUCUAAGCUGCACUUUUCUCUUUGGCAAAAUAGGAAAACGAUUGAUUCUGAACAGAGUGGUUGUGUGAUCAACUGCGAUUACGGGAGUGUUGCUUGUUACGAUCAGCUUCAUAGGCAUCAUCAUCAGUGACAUCGUAUGAGGAAAUAUUAACCAAUAACUUGUUUCUUUGUUGCUAUACAGCAGCGUGAUUUAUAAUCUACAUUAAAGACCAAAGCCAAACAAAAGCUAACAGUCUGUGCCUUAGAAUGCUAAAUCACCAUUAAAACAAACCAUUUGGAAAACUCGAUUAGCUGUUCAAUUUUAUACUGUGCUUAUUCUUUCCCCAUGUUUUCCUUACAGCCAAAAACAAAAAAAUAGAAAAUUUGGUUUGUUUUUCACAGU